UACGAAGGGCCCGAGCGUUAUUCGGAAUCACUGGGCUUAAAGCGUACGUAGGCGGAUCUGUAGGCGCUGUGUGAAAUCCCUCGGCUCAACCGAGGAACUGCAUGGCGAACCACAGAUCUUGAGGCAAGUAGAGGCGGUCGGAACGAUAGGUGGAGUGGUGAAAUGCGUUGAUAUCUAUCGGAACGCCGAAGGUGAAGACAGGCCGCUGGGCUUGUUCUGACGCUCAUGUACGAAAGCGUGGGGAGCGAACGGG
rnacentral:rRNA from 1 species